GACGAACGCUGGCGGCGUGCCUAAUACAUGCAAGUCGAACGCAGUGGGGACGGGUGAGUAACCCGUGGGUAACCUCCCAUCAGAGAGGUUAACACUUGGAAACAGGUGCUAAAACCAUAUUGAUGGAUGAACCCGCGGUGAAUUAGCUAGGUGGUGAGGUAACGGCUCACCAAGGCCACGAUGCAUAGCCGACCUGAGAGGGUGAUCUGCAACACUGGGACUGAGACACGUCCCAGUCUCCUACGGGAGGCAGCAGUAGGGAAUCUUCGGCAAUGGACGAAAGUCUAACCGAGCAACGCCGCGUGAGUGAAGAAGGUUGUCGGAUCGUAAAACUCUGUUGUUAGAGAAGCGGUAUCUAACCAGAAAGCCACGGCUAACUACGUGCCAGCAGCCGCGGUAAUAC
rnacentral:rRNA from 1 species